rnacentral:lncRNA from 1 species
GCCAUGUUCGCCAGGCUGUUCUCGAACUCUAAAGUGCUAAGGUUACAGGUGUGAGCCACCGCGCCAAAGGCCAUCUGCUCAGCCACUGCUGGCUCCAGAUCAAGUCAGCCUUGACUUCAUCUUCUGCAGUCAGAGCUGCUGCAGCUGUCGCCUGAAAGCUCUUCUCUUCAUCGGUUUCCCUAGGCCCUUACUGCAAGAUGCACAGGAUGCAGACUUACAGCGAGGAUCUUUCCUCAAUUAAUAACUCGGCAACUUGAGAACUACAAAAGAAUCAACCUUUUGUUCUUGAAAUUACUUAAACAUACCAGGAAGAAACUCCUGUUGUCUUUUUUAACCAUUUGACCUUGACCUUCCAAUUUCAUUAUAUAGCUAAAUUAUACCUUCUCUUGCUAAUAUUUCUUCCUGAAUACAUUAAAUGUGUGGUUCCCAAACCAUGUGCAGAGAUGCCCCAGGGUGCUGAGCAAACUCACCAGUGCACUGUAGGAUGUUUUAAAAUUUCAAGAGAAACACAGCGACAUCUGCUGGACUCUGUGCAAACUACUAGUUUGAGGCAAUUCAGUCUCAUUAGAUUGUCCUACAGUCCUUUCAAUAACAUCAUGUACUUUCAAAGCUGGGUUUUGGCUAUUCCCAUGACGAAAAUGAAAGUAUGAUGCAAAAAUCAACAUGCACAGGAAAUGAGGUUGGUGAUGAGAAAUCAGAUUCCAAGGCUUGACUAGAUGUGUAGAGCCCAACAGCAGCGCACACAGUAACAUGAAGUCAUUCUGGUUAUUAAAGAAUGAAUUGGGUCCCUCUCCCUCUCUCCCUCUCCCUCUCUCCCUCUCCCUCUCCCCACGGUCUCCCUCUCCCUCUCUUUCCAUGGUCUCCCUCUGAUGCCGAGCCGAAGCUGGACUGUACUGCUGCCAUCUCGGCUCACUGCAGCCUCCCUGCCUGAUUCUCCUGCCUCAGCCUGCCGAGUGCCUGCGAUUGCAGGCGCGCGCCGCCACGCCUGACUGGUUUUCGUAUUUUUUUGGUGGAGACGGGGUUUCGCUGUGUUGGCCGGGCUGGUCUCCAGCUCCUAACUGCGAGUGAUCCGCCAGCCUCGGCCUCCCGAGGUGCCGAGAUUGCAGACGGAGUCUGGUUCACUCAGUGCUCAAUGGUACCCAGGCUGGAGUGCAGUAGCGUGAUCUCGGCUCGCUACAACCUCCACCUCCCAGCCGCCUGCCUUGGCCUCCCAAAGUGCCGAGACUGCAGCCUCUGCCCAGCCGCCACCCCGUCUGGGAAGUGAGGAGCCCCUCUGCCUGGCUGCCCAGUCUGGAAAGUGAGGAGCGUCUCUGCCCGGCCGCCAUCUCAUCUAGAAGUGAGGAGCGCCUCUUCCCGGCCGCCGUCCCAUCUAGGAAGUGAGGAGCGUCUCUGCCCGGCCGCCCAUCGUCUGAGAUGUGGGGAGCGCCUCUGCCCCGCUGCCCCAUCUGGGAUGUGAGGAGCGCCUCUACCUGGCCGCGACCCUGUCUGGGAGGUGAGGAGCGUCUCUGCCCGGCCGCCCCGUCUGAGAAGAGAGGAGACCCUCCGCCUGGCAACCGCCCCGUCUGAGAAGUGAGGAGCCCCUCCGCCCGGCAGCCGCCCUGUCUGAGAAGUGAAGAGCCCCUCCGCCCGGCAGCCACCCCGUCUGGGAAGUGAGGAGCGUCUCCGCCCGGCAGCCACCCCAUCCAGGAGGGAGGUGGGGGGGGUCAGCCCGCCACCCGGCCAGCCGCCCCGUCCGGGAGGGAGGUGGGGGGGGUCAGCCCCCCCCGCCCGGCCAGCCGCCCCGUCCGGAAGAUGCAGGCUUCCUCUUUAUGCGCAAAUGGAAAUGCUCUGAGCAGUACUUAUUCUACCUGAACAUAGAGGAAGGAAGCCUAGAUGGCUGGCAGAGGAGCACAGCCCCACGUGAAGAUUUCAGCACCUGUCCCUUCUCUGCCCGACGACAAUGGAAGAGCAGGCACCGUGAGAUCCUGGGCUAACCACCUCCUCCCCGCAGCACAACGCAACAUCCUAGCUCCUGGUCUGCGGUUCCCCACCACCCAGCGGAGACCUGAACUCAGUCUGAGGAAAGUCUGAUGCCGCCAUUUCUAACUUAAACAGUAUUUGCCCCACUUCUAGGUAAUAAACUUA